rnacentral:rRNA from 1 species
GAUGAACGCUGGCGGCGUGCCUAAUACAUGCAAGUCGAGCGAACAGACGAGGAGCUUGCUCCUCUGACGUUAGCGGCGGACGGGUGAGUAACACGUGGAUAACCUACCUAUAAGACUGGGAUAACUUUGGGAAACCGGAGCUAAUACCGGAUAAUAUAUUGAACCGCAUGGUUCAAUAGUGAAAGACGGUUUUGCUGUCACUUAUAGAUGGAUCCGCGCCGCAUUAGCUAGUUGGUAAGGUAACGGCUUACCAAGGCAACGAUGCGUAGCCGACCUGAGAGGGUGAUCGGCCACACUGGAACUGAGACACGGUCCAGACUCCUACGGGAGGCAGCAGUAGGGAAUCUUCCGCAAUGGGCGAAAGCCUGACGGAGCAACGCCGCGUGAGUGAUGAAGGUCUUCGGAUCGUAAAACUCUGUUAUUAGGGAAGAACAAAUGUGUAAGUAACUAUGCACGUCUGGACGGUACCUAAUCAGAAAGCCACGGCUAACUACGUG